rnacentral:rRNA from 1 species
GAUGAACGCUGGCGGCGUGCUUAACACAUGCAAGUCGAACGAAGCACUUUAACCUGAUUCUUCGGAUGAAGGUUUUUGUGACUGAGUGGCGGACGGGUGAGUAACGCGUGGGUAACCUGCCUCAUACAGGGGGAUAACAGUUAGAAAUGACUGCUAAUACCGCAUAAGACCACGGAGCUGCAUGGCUCAGUGGGAAAAACUCCGGUGGUAUGAGAUGGACCCGCGUCUGAUUAGGUAGUUGGUGGGGUAACGGCCUACCAAGCCAACGAUCAGUAGCCGACCUGAGAGGGUGACCGGCCACAUUGGGACUGAGACACGGCCCAAACUCCUACGGGAGGCAGCAGUGGGGAAUAUUGCACAAUGGGGGAAACCCUGAUGCAGCGACGCCGCGUGAGCGAAGAAGUAUUUCGGUAUGUAAAGCUCUAUCAGCAGGGAAGAAAAUGACGG